AAACGCAUUCAACGACUUGUUUUCUUCUCUACCUCAAUGCUGGCUUCCUGAUUCAAAGAGAUAUUAGGAUCUCUAUCAACAUUACCUUCCAGAUGAUGGGACCAACCAAGUUGACCCAUGAAGACUUGCAUCAGGGUAAUAUCCUAAUUUCACCAGCUGGAGAGAUCCGAUUGGAAAUAACUCUGCACAGGGUCCCGCCGCCGGGCGCUCGUUUGGGGGACAUUCGCGCGGCGGAGGGCAGUUUGGGGUGAGAUUUCAGUCGAAGAUGAUCUUCCCCAGCCCAACGCCGAAGAAAACAGGAUGGAGCAGACAAAAGACACCCUCCCAAAACUGACGGCUUAGUUACCUAGUCGACCCAGAACUGGUCAUUACGGCUGCUCAGAUCUUGACACUAAGCUAAAAGAGAGAUGGACAAUGAGGGCCUGGGUAUUAAGGCUAGUUAGUUGACGGUGUUUUUGGCACUUGUGGUUUUCAUCCAGAUCAACCACCCGGUGACCGAGCUUCCUUUCUGACAUGCCACUUGUAUGUUAGAUUGUGAAACUCCAUUUGAAUGUCCCAUGUAUGGUCGGUUCGGGUGACAGUUAUAGGCAUCAUCCACGAAGUUACUAAUAAAAAAGAAAAGGAAAGAAAAGAAAAAGAAGUUGAAGGAGAAUAAAAUUAUCGUUUCGUUAAUUCUCAACCCGAGUUUAUGGGCCCAACAGAAAGUGCGUGAGGGUAUCGUCAAGUCAUGGGUCAUGUAAAAGACCAGUCAAAGAAACCUGCAAGAAGGGACACAUUGAAACCAUAAACGGAAAAAAAAAAUGAAAGAUGGGGUGUAAAAUAGAAAAAUUCUUGAAACUUUAAAAAGCCCAGCGAAAGUCAGAAUAAACAUUUACAUAACUAUGGGGGGCGUUACAAUAAGAACAGAAUAUCAAGUGAAAGUUUCCCAAACACUGCCUUCUCCACAAAAUAUAAGCUUUUGGAGGACAUGCAGCCAGC
rnacentral:sRNA from 2 species